UAAGGUGGUUAUUGCGUCGGGGCUCACCUCUUCCCAUUCCGAACAGAGAAGUUAAGCCCGAUUGCGCAGAUGGUACUGCAAUUUGUGGGAGAGUAUGUCGCCGCCUUUU
rnacentral:rRNA from 2 species